rnacentral:rRNA from 1 species
UACGGGGGGGGCAAGCGUUGUUCGGAAUUACUGGGCGUAAAGGGCUCGUAGGUGGCCAACUAAGUCAGACGUGAAAUCCCUCGGCUUAACCGGGGAACUGCGUCUGAUACUGGAUGGCUUGAGUUCGGGAGAGGGAUGCGGAAUUCCAGGUGUAGCGGUGAAAUGCGUAGAUAUCUGGAGGAACACCGGUGGCGAAGGCGGCAUCCUGGACCGACACUGACACUGAGGAGCGAAAGCCAGAGGAGCAAACAGG